AAAUUAGUCACGGAAGCGAAAUAAAAACAGCUGCCGGUGUUGGAACGAACUACUACUAGGGUACAGUGCAGUACCCAGGAAGUCGACGACGAGGCGGCCGUUGGAGCAGCGGCCGGUGGGCUUGCGGAAGAAGGUCAUCCCGUAGGGAGGGCGCGCGGUGGUGAGCGCCUUGGGCGUGCCGUUGACGAUGAGGUUGCCGGCGUCGGAGAGCGAGUCCCCGAAGCUGAAGAUGGCCGUGUACGACUUCUUGCUCCUGGCCGCGGCGCAGGUGGCCGGCAACGCCGCCACGAGCGCGGCGACGAGCAGGAGGGGGAGCACGCCCCGGCGCGGCGGCGCGUGGGCGACGGCCAUUGCGGCUGCGGGUGUCGGCGGCAAGCAGCUAUGUCGACGCGGCCCGACGCGCAUGUGCGGUCCUCAACACAAAGACACCAUCGGCAAAGUGAUUAUGGAGAUUUCCUUCUUUCUACCGAAGGUCCUCAAGACGAAGACCUCGCUUGAAAGCAACGAUGACAAGUGCCGAAGCUGCCAUCAGCUUCGGUUUAGAUCAAGCAAAAGAUGAAAAGACCAGAUAGACCCUAGUGAUUUAAGUUAUGAUUAUAAACAAAUGUUGAAGGUCAUGAAUGUAAUUUUAUCCAGGCUACGUCUUGUGCCUAUAAAUAGAUGAACAGUAGCAUCAUACUGUUCACGCUGAAUUGUAAUCUCUCUCGUGCCAACACAUUCGAGUAAGCCGAAGGUAUCAAUGUAAUAUAA
rnacentral:misc_RNA from 1 species